rnacentral:misc_RNA from 1 species
GCAUUUUCGAGCCAAAAGUGCGAAGCGCCUACGCGGGGAAAUCAGUCCACUGGACUGAUUUCUAAUCCCGCUUCGAUGCGUGGGACAAUGCGUAAAAACAACGAGAUAGAGUGGUCCGUUUUAAGCCGAACCGCUCUCAUGGCA